rnacentral:rRNA from 1 species
AUGGUAAGGGAUUUCUAUUGGGGAUCGGAAAAAGGCAAAAGGAAAGUUCAUUGGAAAGGUUGGGAUCAUUUGCUGCAGCCCAAGGAUAGGGGUGGCAUGGGUUUUCGGGAUUUUCGUCUGUUCAAUCAAGCCUUACUGGCUCGCCAAGCAUGGCGAUUAAUAUCCAGACCAGACAGCCUAUGUGCACAAGUUCUCAAAGCACGGUACUACCAGCAUGGCAAGUUUGAUACUGUCUUCACGGGUAAUGCCUCAUCCUCAUGGCAAGAAAUUAGCCAUGGUCUGGAUUUGCUAAAGAAAGGAUUAAUAUGGCAUGUUGGGAAUGACAGAAGCAUAAGAGUGUGGCGUGACAAUUGGAUACCCCGACCUUUUUUGUUUAGGCCCAUCUCACGACAAGGCGUGUGUCGUAUGCGUUUCGUUUCUGACUUGUUGAACGAUAAUGGUUCAUGGAAGGUUGAGCUGCUUUAUCAAUAUUUUAUUGCUGCAGAUGUAGAAGAGAUCCUAAAGAUCAAGACUUCCCCAAGAUUGGAUGAUGAUUUCCUUACAUGGGCACCUGAAAAACAUGGAAUCUUCACAGUUAGGAGCGCCUACCAUCUGGCGUUUGAUGAGCUGCACCGCGGGUCCACGACCUCCUCCAGUACAGCGCCUACGGGAGGUAGGAGUUGCUGGAAAUUCAUUUGGAACUGCGGCGCACCGCCAACGAUUGCAAAUUUUGCAUGGCGAGUGGCAACGGAUAGUCUACCGACCUGGAAAAUAAGUGUAGGUCUCGAGCUCACUAGUAUAUGCCCAGUGUGUGGGGUUGAGUCAGAAGACAAUUUCCACCCUUUUGUGCAGUGUCAAUAUGGCCGAGACCUUUACAGAUCAAUGGCAAAACAAUGGAGGUUGCCCAGUAUGGAUUCGAUCAUACCUACUGGCAAGAAUGGCUGCUGCAUGUCCUAG